UACGUAGGGGGCAAGCGUUGUCCGGAAUCAUUGGGCGUAAAGAGCGUGUAGGCGGCCAGAAAAGUCCGCUGUGAAAACUCGAGGCUCAACUUCGAGCUGUCGGUGGAAACUUUCUGGCUAGAGUCCGGAAGAGGAGAGUGGAAUUCCUGGUGUAGCGGUGAAAUGCGCAGAUAUCAGGAAGAACACCCGUGGCGAAAGCGGCUCUCUGGGACGGUACUGACGCUGAGACGCGAAAGCGUGGGGAGCGAACAGG
rnacentral:rRNA from 1 species